rnacentral:rRNA from 1 species
GAAGUGUGGACGCCAGUCUGCAUGGAGCCGACCUUGAAAUACCACCCUUUAAUGUUUGAUGUUCUAACGUUGACCCGUAAUCCGGGUUGCGGACAGUGUCUGGUGGGUAGUUUGACUGGGGCGGUCUCCUCCUAAAGAGUAACGGAGGAGCACGAAGGUUGGCUAAUCCUGGUCGGACAUCAGGAGGUUAGUGCAAUGGCAUAAGCCAGCUUGACUGCGAGCGUGACGGCGCGAGCAGGUGCGAAAGCAGGUCAUAGUGAUCCGGUGGUUCUGAAUGGAAGGGCCAUCGCUCAACGGAUAAAAGGUACUCCGGGGAUAACAGGCUGAUACCGCCCAAGAGUUCAUAUCGACGGCGGUGUUUGGCACCUCGAUGUCGGCUCAUCACAUCCUGGGGCUGAAGUAGGUCCCAAGGGUAUGGCUGUUCGCCAUUUAAAGUGGUACGCGAGCUGGGUUUAGAACGUCGUGAGACAGUUCGGUCCCUAUCUGCCGUGGGCGCUGGAGAACUGAGGGGGGCUGCUCCUAGUACGAGAGGACCGGAGUGGACGCAUCACUGGUGUUCGGGUUGUCAUGCCAAUGGCACUGCCCGGUAGCUAAAUGCGGAAGAGAUAAGUGCUGAAAGCAUCUAAGCACGAAACUUGCCCCGAGAUGAGUUCUCCCUGACUCCUUGAGAGUCCUGAAGGAACGUUGAAGACGACGACGUUGAUAGGCCGGGUGUGUAAGCGCAGCGAUGCGUUGAGCUAACCGGUACUAAUGAACCGUGAGGCUUAACCUUACAACGCCGAAGGUGUUU